CUGGACUUGUUCGCCCAAGAGUUUAACAGUAUGACAAUGCAAUAGAAGACUUAGAAAGUUCCAUACUGUCAUUGGAGACUACUUAUCAAAUGUACUUGGAAAGAGCAUCUCAUAAACGCACAGAUAAAGUACAAGAAAGAGAUGGAAGAUGAUUGGGUGACUGUUGAUAGGAAAAUGUUGGUAACCUGGGUAUUAUUGAAGAGAAACAUACAAUUCACCUUACUAGAUGGUUUUGGAGACAAAUGACACCGACACUAGUUGUUCUGAAGAAAUCCCCCCAGCUUGAUAUGAUCAAUUUGAAGAAUUUGGAGAAAACCAUUUAUUUGUCCUUCAAUUUUGAUGGCCAAAGAUGAAAGGCUUGAGACAG
rnacentral:misc_RNA from 1 species